rnacentral:rRNA from 1 species
GGUCAAGCUACUAAGGGCACAUGGUGGAUGCCUUGGUGCCAGAGGGCGAUGAAGGACGUGGUAAGCUGCGAUAAGCCUCGGGGAGGAGCAAACAUCCUUAGAUCCGGGGAUUUCCGAAUGGGGAAACCCUCCUCGAUAAAAUCGAGGAAUUCCGGUUUGAAUAAAAUAAAACCGGGAGGCAAAACUGGGAGAACUGAAACAUCUAAGUAUCCCAAGGAAGAGAAAGAGAAUCGAUUUCCUGAGUAGCGGCGAGCGAAACGGAAAGAGCCUAAACCCCGGUUACGUGAUAGUUCAUACACGUUGUAAUCGGGGGGUCGUGGGAUUUAACCGUUCCCUUGUAUGAGAGGGAGAAGGAGUUACCAAUCCUGCCCCUAACUGAAUGGUCUGGAAAGGCCAACCAGAGAAGGUGAUAGUCCUUUAAGUGAAAGGAGCAGGGCUUCUUGGGCUAAAUUCCCAAGUAUCACGGGACACGUGGAACCCUGUGAGAAUCUGUCCCGACCACGGGAUAAGGCUAAAUACUGUCUGGCGACCGAUAGUGAACUAGUACCGUGAGGGAAAAGUGAAAAGAACCCCGGGAGGGGAGUGAAAUAGAACCUGAAACCAUGAUGCCUACAAGCAGUGGGAGCCCUAUGUCUAAAUCUUAGUAUUUGGACAGGGUGACCGCGUGCCUUUUGCAUAAUGAACCGGCGAGUUACUUCUAGGUAGCAAGGUUAAGUCCGAUUUAUCGGACGGAGCCGUAGCGAAAGCGAGUCCUAAUAGGGCGAUUUAGUUAUCUGGAGUAGACCCGAAACCGAGUGAGCUACCCAUGGUCAGGGUGAAGCUCCGGUAAAACGGAGUGGAGGCCCGAACCUGCGGACGUUGAAAAGUCUUGGGAUGAACUGUGGGUAGGGGUGAAAGGCCUAUCAAACUCGGAAAUAGCUGGUUCUCCCCGAAAUAUAUUUAGGUAUAGCCUCAUGGGUUCAGUAAUGGCGGUAGAGCACUGACUGGACUAGGGACCUUAAUAAGGUUACCAAACCCAUUCAAACUCCGAAUGCUAUUACUUCAAUACCAUGGGAGUCAGACUACGGGGGAUAAGCUUCGUAGUCAAAAGGGAAACAACCCAGAUCGUCGGCUAAGGUCCCUAAGCACGGGCUAAGUGGAGAAGGAUGUCGGAUUGCCCAAACAGCCAGGAGGUUGGCUUAGAAGCAGCCAUCCUUUAAAGAAAGCGUAACAGCUCACUGGUCGAGUGGUCCGGCGCCGAAAAUUCAACGGGGCUUAAGUCCGUCACCGAAGCCGCGACUUCCCGAUUUAUCGGGAGGGGUAGGGGAGCAUUCCGUUCUGGUUGAAGUCUUACCGCAAGGAGAGAUGGACGGAACGGAAGAGACGAUGCCGGUAUGAGUAGCGAUAAGGCCGAUGAGAAAUCGGCCCGCCGUAAACCCAAGGUUUCCUGGGGAAGGUUAAUCCGCCCAGGGUUAGUCGGUCCUAAGCCGAGGCCGAAAGGCGUAGGCGAUGGAAAGUCCGUUAAUAUUCGGACACCGCUUGGGAAGCGUUUUGAGCUAUGGGGUGACGCAGAGGAGUAAACCAGCCCACGACUGGAAGUGUGGGUCCAAGCCCGUAGGGAGUCCUGACAGGAAAAUCCGUCGGGACAUUAAUCCCGAGAGGCGUUAGGGUGUCCACGAAAGUGGACAGAACUGGUUAAUCUCAACUGCCAAGAAAAACCUCUAAGCAAGUCUUCCAAGCGACCGUACCGCAAACCGACACAGGUGGGUGAGGAGAGAAUCCUAAGGCGCUCGAAAGAACCCUCGUUAAGGAACUCGGCAAUUUAACCCCGUAACUUUGGGAUAAGGGGUGUCCGGCCACGUGUAGUUGCUUGCCAAUGUAGCGUGGACGGAUCGCAGUGAAAUGGCCCAGGCGACUGUUUAACAAAAACACAGGUCUCUGCUAACUCGUAAAGAGGAGGUAUAGGGACCGACGCUUGCCCGGUGCUGGAAGGUUAAGAUAAGGGGUCCGUUCGAUUUAUCGAACAAAGCUCUAAAUUGAAGCCCCAGUAAACGGCGGCCGUAACUAUAACGGUCCUAUGGUAGCGAAAUUCCUUGUCGGGUAAGUUCCGACGUGCAUGAAUAGCGUAACGACUUGGGCACUGUCUCAACGAGGGAUUCGGCGAAAUUGUAGCAGGGGUGAAGAUGCCUCUUACCCACGUCAGGACGGAAAGACCCCGGAACCUUUACUGUAUCCUGGCAUUGGAUUUUGAUAUGAUUUGUAGAGGAUAGGUGGGAGACUAUGAACCUUUUGCGCUAGCGAAAGGGGAGUCAACCUUGGAAUACCACCCUUAUUAUACUAGGAUUCUAAUUCCGAUCCGUAUAUCCGGACGGAAGACAUUGUCAGGUGGGCAGUUUGACUGGGGCGGUCGCCUCCUAAAUUGUAACGGAGGUGUCCUAAGGUUCCCUCAACACGGUUGGUAAUCGUGUGUGGAGUGUAAAGGCAGAAGGGAGCUUAACUGCGAGACUUACCAGUCGAGCAGAUGCGAAAGCAGGGCUUAAUGAUCCGGCGGUGCUGUGUGGAAAGGCCGUCGCUUAACGGAUAAAAGGUACUCCGGGGAUAACAGGCUUAUCUCCUCCAAGAGUUCAUAUCGACGAGGAGGUUUGGCACCUCGAUGUCGGCUCAUCGCAUCCUGGGGGUGAAGAAGCUCCCAAGGGUUUGUCUGUUCGCCAAUUAAAGCGGUACGUGAGUUGGGUUCAGAACGUCGUAAGACAGUUCGGUCCCUAUCCGGCGUGGGCGUUAGGAUAUUUGAGGGAAGCUGCCCCUAGUACGAGAGGACCGGGGUGGACAGACCUCUGGUGUACCAGCUGUUUCGCCAGAAGCAUCGCUGGGUAGCUAUGUCUGGAAAGGAUAAGCGCUGAAAGCAUCUAAGCGCGAAGCCUCUCCCAAGAUAAGAUAUCCCUAAGACUCCCCGUAGAUGACGGGGUUGAUAGGCUCCAAGUGUAAGGCGAGUAAUCGUUUUAGCUAUGGAGUACUAAUCAGUCGUUUGGCUUGAUCAU